UGAACGCUAGCGGCAGGCUUAACACAUGCAAGUCGAGGGGCAGCAAGGAUUGUGCUUGCACAAUUUGUUGGCGACCGGCGCACGGGUGCGUAACGCGUAUGCAACCUACCUUUAACAGGGGGAUAACACUGAGAAAUUGGUACUAAUACCCCAUAAUACUUUGAAAGGCAUCUUUCGGAGUUGAAAGUUCCGGCGGUUAGAGAUGGGCAUGCGUUGUAUUAGCUAGAUGGUGAGAUAACGGCUCACCAUGGCGACGAUACAUAGGGGGACUGAGAGGUUAACCCCCCACAUUGGUACUGAGACACGGACCAAACUCCUACGGGAGGCAGCAGUGAGGAAUAUUGGUCAAUGGACGCAAGUCUGAACCAGCCAUGCCGCGUGCAGGAUGACGGCUCUAUGAGUUGUAAACUGCUUUUGUAUUAGGGUAAACCUUAGUACGUGUACUAAGCUGAAAGUAUAAUACGAAUAAGGAUCGGCUAACUCCGUG
rnacentral:rRNA from 1 species